AGCGAACGCUGGCGGCAGGCCUAACACAUGCAAGUCGAACGCCCCUUCGGGGGAGUGGCGGACGGGUGAGUAACGCGUGGGAAUGUGCCCUUUGGUACGGAACAACUGAGGGAAACUUCAGCUAAUACCGUACGUGCCCCUGUCCUUAACGGGAUGGGUGGGAAAGAUUUAUCGCCAUAGGAGCAGCCCGCGUUGGAUUAGGUAGUUGGUGGGGUAAAGGCCUACCAAGCCUACGAUCCAUAGCUGGUCNGAGAGGAUGAUCAGCCACACUGGGACUGAGACACGGCCCAGACUCCUACGGGAGGCAGCAGUGGGGAAUCUUGCGCAAUGGGCGAAAGCCUGACGCAGCCAUGCCGCGUGUAUGAUGAAGGUCUUAGGAUUGUAAAAUACUUUCACC
rnacentral:rRNA from 1 species